rnacentral:tRNA from 1 species
UCCCUGGUGGUCCAGUGGUUGGGACUUUGCCUUCCAAUGCAGGGGGCAUGGGUUCAAUCCCUGCUCAGGGAG